CGGAGCUUGCUCCACCGAAAGAAAAAGAGUGGCGAACGGGUGAGUAACACGUGGGUAACCUGCCCAUCAGAAGGGGAUAACACUUGGAAACAGGUGCUAAUACCGUAUAACACUAUUUUCCGCAUGGAAGAAAGUUGAAAGGCGCUUUUGCGUCACUGAUGGAUGGACCCGCGGUGCAUUAGCUAGUUGGUGAGGUAACGGCUCACCAAGGCAACGAUGCAUAGCCGACCUGAGAGGGUGAUCGGCCACACUGGGACUGAGACACGGCCCAGACUCCUACGGGAGGCAGCAGUAGGGAAUCUUCGGCAAUGGACGAAAGUCUGACCGAGCAACGCCGCGUGAGUGAAGAAGGUUUUCGGAUCGUAAAACUCUGUUGUUAGAGAAGAACAAGGAUGAGAGUAAAAUGUUCAUCCCUUGACGGUAUCUAACCAGAAAGCCACGGCUAACUACGUGCCAGCAGCCGCGGUAAUACGUAGGUGGCAAGCGUUGUCCGGAUUUAUUGGGCGUAAAGCGAGCGCAGGCGGUUUCUUAAGUCUGAUGUGAAAGCCCCCGGCUCAACCGGGGAGGGUCAUUGGAAACUGGGAGACUUGAGUGCAGAAGAGGAGAGUGGAAUUCCAUGUGUAGCGGUGAAAUGCGUAGAUAUAUGGAGGAACACCAGUGGCGAAGGCGGCUCUCUGGUCUGUAACUGACGCUGAGGCUCGAAAGCGUGGGGAGCGAACAGGAUUAGAUACCCUGGUAGUCCACGCCGUAAACGAUGAGUGCUAAGUGUUGGAGGGUUUCCGCCCUUCAGUGCUGCAGCAAACGCAUUAAGCACUCCGCCUGGGGAGUACGACCGCAAGGUUGAAACUCAAGGAAUUGACGGGGGCCCGCCCACGCGGUGGAGCAUGUGGUUUAAUUCGAAGCAACGCGAAGAAC
rnacentral:rRNA from 1 species